rnacentral:rRNA from 1 species
UACGUAGGGUGCAAGCGUUGUCCGGAAUUAUUGGGCGUAAAGAGCUCGUAGGCGGUUUGUCGCGUCUGCUGUGAAAUCCCGAGGCUCAACCUCGGGCCUGCAGUGGGUACGGGCAGACUAGAGUGCGGUAGGGGAGAUUGGAAUUCCUGGUGUAGCGGUGGGAUGCGCAGAUAUCAGGAGGAACACCGAUGGCGAAGGCAGAUCUCUGGGCCGUAACUGACGCUGAGGAGCGAAAGCAUGGGGAGCGAACAGG